UAUUAUAAGACUUGUUACAAGGUUGUUCCAACAUGUCUGAUACAGUCAUGGUAUAACAAUAUUGUUACAACCUUGUGUCAUCAACCUUGUAACAUUCUUGUUAUAUCAUGACUGUAUCAUACUUGUUAGAACAACCUUGUAACAAGUCUGAUAAUG